rnacentral:rRNA from 1 species
UUGCACGCUGGCGGCAGGCCUAACACAUGCCAGUCGAGCGGAUGAAGGGAGCUUGCUCCUGGAUUCAGCGGCGGACGGGUGAGUAAUGCCUAGGAAUCUGCCUGGUAGUGGGGGAUAACGUCCGGAAACGGGCGCUAAUACCGCAUACGUCCUGAGGGAGAAAGUGGGGGAUCUUCGGACCUCACGCUAUCAGAUGAGCCUAGGUCGGAUUAGCUAGUUGGUGGGGUAAAGGCCUACCAAGGCGACGAUCCGUAACUGGUCUGAGAGGAUGAUCAGUCACACUGGAACUGAGACACGGUCCAGACUCCUACGGGAGGCAGCAGUGGGGAAUAUUGGACAAUGGGCGAAAGCCUAAUCCAGCCAUGCCGCGUGUGUGAAGAAGGUCUUCGGAUUGUAAAGCACUUUAAGUUGGGAGGAAGGGCAGUAAGUUAAUACCUUGCUGUUUUGACGUUACCAACAGAAUAAGCACCGGCUAACUUCGUG